rnacentral:misc_RNA from 1 species
AACUUUCGGCAAUGGAUCACUUGGCUCUCGCAUCGAUGAAGAACGCAGCGAAAUGCGAUAAGUAAUGUAAAUUGCAGAAUUCAGUGAAUCAUCGAAUCUUUGAACGCAUCUUGCGCUCCCUGGUAUUCCUAGGAGCAUGCCUGUUUGAGUGUCAUUUAAGUUCUCAACCGCAUCAGACUUGUUUUUGGUGUGGCUUGGAUAUGGGUGUAUUUGUUGCAGGCUUUUGAAAAAUGAAGUCAGCUCCCCUGAAAUGCAUUAGUAGUAUCUGAGCAGAAAAAACUACUAUGGGUGUGAUAAUUUAUCUAUGCCCUUAGUAUUGCUGCAUAAACAGAUUGCGCUGCUUCUAACGAGUGUGUAUAAUAACCACGUUUGACAAAUUUGACCUCAAAUCAGGUAGGACUACCCGCUGAACUUAAGCAUAUCAAUAAGCGGAGGCU